rnacentral:lncRNA from 1 species
AUGCACGAGAGUAAUAACGCUGCACGCGGAAGGGAGGCGGCGGCGGCCCGAAGACCUGGGGCGAGCCGGGGUCAGGGGCCAGGGGCAGAGGCCCGCGGGGACUGGAGAGGGACCAGGAGCAGAGCCGGCCCAGUCCUGGGGGGGUGCCCUCAGGGUCAUCACCCCAUCGUACAGAGGUGGGGUGCAGGCAGGUCUCCCUGCUGUGGGGUGCCCUCAGGGUCAUCACCCCAUCCUACACAGAGGUGGGGCGCAGGCAGGUCUCCCUGCUGUGGGGUGCCCUCGGGGUCAUCACCCCAUCGUACACAGAGUUGGGUGCAGGCAGGUCUCCCUGCUGUGGGGUGCCCUCAGGGUCAUCACCCCAUCCUACACAGAGGUGGGGUGCAGGCAGGUCUCCCUGCUGUGGGGUGCCCUCAGGGUCAUCACCCCAUCGUACACAGAGUUGGGUGCAGGCAGGUCUCCCUGCUGUGGGGUGCCCUCAGGGUCAUCACCCCAUCGUACAGAGGUGGGGUGCAGGCAGGUCUCCCUGCUGUGGGGUGCCCUCAGGGUCAUCACCCCAUCGUACAGAGGUGGGGUGCAGGCAGGUCUCCCUGCUGUGGGGUGCCCUCAGGGUCAUCACCCCAUCGUACAGAGGUGGGGUGCAGGCAGGUCUCCCUGCUGUGGGGUGCCCUCAGGGUCCUCACCCCAUCGUACACAGAGUUGGGUGCAGGCAGGUCUCCCUGCUGUGGGGUGCCCUCAGGGUCAUCACCCCAUCGUACACAGAGUUGGGUGCAGGCAGGUCUCCCUGCUGUGGGGUGCCCUCAGGGUCAUCACCCCAUCGUACACAGAGUUGGGUGCAGGCAGGUCUCCCUGCUGUGGGGUGCCCUCAGGGUCAUCACCCCAUCGUACACAGAGUUGGGUGCAGGCAGGUCUCCCUGCUGUGGGGUGCCCUCAGGGUCAUCACCCCAUCGUACACAGAGUUGGGUGCAGGCAGGUCUCCCUGCUGUGGGGUGCCCUCAGGGUCAUCACCCCAUCGUACACAGAGUUGGGUGCAGGCAGGUCUCCCUGCUGUGGGGUGCCCUCAGGGUCAUCACCCCAUCGUACACAGAGGUGGGUGCAGGCAGGUCUCUCUGCUGUGGGGGUGCCCUUGCUGUCAUCACCCCAUCGUAG